rnacentral:lncRNA from 1 species
AAAUGAAAGCUCAAAAGGCAACAACAAAGAAGAAAAGAUGUAUAUCUUAAAUGAUAGUUUGUUUACAAGAAAAAUCAUGCAAGAAAUAUUUGUAUUAGCAAAAUUGAGUUCAUAUCUACAAGACAGGAAUGAAAUCACAAAGAAGUUUAUCCGUUCGCAUGAGAAUCUUGCAGAGCAGCAACACACGACUUCGAAUUUCAAAAUUCUGCACCAAAUUUCGAAAGUUUU